GACGUAGGGCGCGAGCGUUGUCCGGAUUUAUUGGGCGUAAAGAGCUCGUAGGCGGCUUGUUGCGUCAGCUGUGAAAACCCGCAGCUCAACUGUGGGCUUGCAGCUGAUACGGGCAGGCUUGAGUUCGGUAGGGGAGACUGGAAUUCCUGGUGUAGCGGUGAAAUGCGCAGAUAUCAGGAGGAACACCGGUGGCGAAGGCGACUACCUGGCCUGUUCUUGACGCUGAGGCGCGAAAGCUAGGGGAGCAAACGGG
rnacentral:rRNA from 1 species